AGAUUGAACGCUGGCGGCAUGCUUUACACAUGCAAGUCGAACGGCAGCACGGGGGCAACCCUGGUGGCGAGUGGCGAACGGGUGAGUAAUAUAUCGGAACGUACCCGGAAAUGGGGGAUAACGUAGCGAAAGUUACGCUAAUACCGCAUAUGCCCUGAGGGGGAAAGCGGGGGAUUCGUAAGAGCCUCGCGUUUUCGGAGCGGCCGAUAUCGGAUUAGCUAGUAGGUGAGGUAAAGGCUCACCUAGGCGACGAUCCGUAGCUGGUCUGAGAGGACGACCAGCCACACUGGAACUGAGACACGGUCCAGACUCCUACGGGAGGCAGCAGUGGGGAAUUUGGACAAUGGGCGCAAGCCUGAUCCAGCCAUGCCGCGUGAGUGAAGAAGGCCUUCGGGUGUAAGCUCUUUCAGCCGGAAAGAAAACGCAACGGUUAAUACCCUGUGUGGAUGACGGUACGGAACGAAGAACGACACGCAACUACGUAGCCACGCAGACCGC
rnacentral:rRNA from 1 species